GACGAACGCUGGCGGCGUGCUUAACACAUGCAAGUCGUACGGUAAGGCCCUUUCGGGGGUCCACGAGUGGCGAACGGGUGAGUAACACGUGAGUAACCUGCCCACAACUUUGGGAUAACGCUAGGAAACUGGUGCUAAUACUGGAUAUGUGCCCCUGCUGCAUGGUGGGGGUUGGAAAGCUCCGGCGGUUGUGGAUGGACUCGCGGCCUAUCAGCUUGUUGGUGGGGUAGUGGCCUACCAAGGCGGCGACGGGUAGCCGGCCUGAGAGGGUGACCGGCCACAGUGGGACUGAGAUACGGCCCAGACUCCUACGGGAGGCAGCAGUGGGGAAUAUUGCACAAUGGGCGCAAGCCUGAUGCAGCAACGCCGCGGGCGGGAGGACGGCCUUCGGGUUGUAAACCGCUUUCAGCAGGGACGAAGCUUUUUGUGACGGUACCUGCAGAAGAAGCACCGGCUAACUACGUG
rnacentral:rRNA from 1 species